rnacentral:misc_RNA from 1 species
UACGGAGGGUGCAAGCGUUAAUCGGAAUUACUGGGCGUAAAGCGUGCGCAGGCGGUUCUGCAAGUCAGAUGUGAAAUCCCCGGGCUCAACCUGGGAACUGCGUUUGAAACUACAGAGCUAGAGUAUGGGAGAGGGAGGUAGAAUUCCAGGUGUAGCGGUGAAAUGCGUAGAGAUCUGGAGGAAUACCGGUGGCGAAGGCGGCCCCCUGGACAAAGACUGACGCUCAGGUGCGAAAGCGUGGGGAACAAACAGG